rnacentral:tRNA from 3 species
GCCGGUGUAGCUCAGGGGUAGAGCGUUUCCUUGGUAAGGAAGAGGUCAUGAGUUCAAAUCUCAUCAUUGGCUC